GCGAGUUUUGGGAAACGUGGUCUCCUCACAGCUGAUGGAUUACAGCAACUGAUCUUAGUUCUAAGUCCAAUUGUUCCGUACCCUUACACAUUGCAACACCUACCCAAUUUUGGAAAACGAUUUAAUUCAGCUCAAACUGGAAUGAUUUGAUUUACUACAGAAUUAACUUAUUAGCUAAAAAAUCAGGGCCACGUAACUACCGUAAAAUGGCAGGUAAAUCAACAAAUUUCUUAACGACGCGUUAAGUUAUACAUUCAUGCAGUAAUUGGCAACUUUUAAACUGUUUUAUGCAAUAAUUUUACAAAUUUUCGCAAAAUAACCCCCUUCACCGGAACAAGUUUACAAAAAAUGGGCAUAAUUUUGCCCAGAAAUAUUUACAAGUUUUGCAAUGACAAUUACCAAGUACUACGUGAAUUGUCUUAAUACACAUUCUUAAAAAUCACGAUAGAGAUUUGGUGAUACGGUGAAAUUUAUUACGAAAGUUGUGAAAUUAUUGAUUACUAAAUACCUGGGGCCACUCUCAGAGCCCCGCUUAAGCCAAAAAAAAUCGACUUAAACAUAAUCCGAUUUUUUUCCGUCCCAGAAAAAAGUUUAAACUUUUUCCAUUGUCAAAAUCCGCUUAAAAUCUAAUCUGAUCCGAAAUUGAGCCGGGGCACUGGACACGGAUUGAAAUGGUGUCCAGAGAAAAACUUACGACCAAAACUAAGCCAAAAAUGCUGCGACUGCUAUUUAGUAGUCGUAAGUCCAAAUCUCUCUUUUUCUCUCACCUGUUGGCUCACAAGUAAAUACUUAGAUUUUACUUGGAACUAUUUUUUAACAUUUUAUUUGAGUAUGCCAUAGCAUACUGAACUAAAAUUACAAGCUAAUUCCUCCGAGUGACGAACAAGUGAUUCGUCCUUGAGUCUCCACCGUGCCUAGACUUGCAAAUUAUUGCGGUCGUGACUCCUUUAUAUUGGAGUGCCUUUAUUCCUACCGAGUGCAAUUAGAAGACAAAUAUAUAAAAGAAGGCAAACAUUUGAGAGACGAAGUGAACGUGAUAUAAGGGAACAUUAUAGUGUGCUAGGGUGGUGCGCCAGCUUGGAGCGCAAGAGAGCCUAUCAAACUUUAUCAUCAUCUUGAAGGGACAAUAAUUACGACGGUCCCUUGUUUCUACAGUCCUACGUUUCUUACUGGUGCAUUUUGGAAAUACCACAACUAUACGCUACAAGGGCAAUUUAAUAAGCGGUGAAAAAAUGAGGCGCACGUUUGUAAGAAAAAUUAGUAAUUAAGGACUGAUCGCUACAGCUGUUAUCGCCACUUCAUGAGCACGUGAAUCAAUUUUAGCUCCUAAAUAGCAUUCCCGGUGGUAUUGAUCGACGUGAUCCUUCUUUCAAAUUUCCGACAGAUAGACCUCUAUUGACCUAUCGAGGUGACGAAAGUGUUGAUUUAUGUUUUCAAGUAUGGGCUCUACAUACAUCAAUCAUUGGUCACAGGCCACUUCCUAUCUAUGAGUAACGACUAGAUUUAUCUAAGUCAGUCCCAUGUUUGAGUACAUGUUGUUUUGAAUGCAAAUAAAGAAAGCUUGAGAACUCA